UCCCUCUCAGCCCUAGCCAGCCUCAGUGUGUCUUUAUUGCCUACUCCAACGUGACCUGCUACUGGACACCUGGACAAGGCUCUCCCUCAGACACGCGCUUCACACUGCAGGUCAACAUAACCGGAUGCGAUGACCCUGUGAUCCAUCAGUCCCAACUGUGUCAGACUGUUACCCAGACCCACUGCUCUGUUAACGUGACCUAUCUGAGCCGCUGCUACUGCAUCAGGGUCCUGGCCGACAGCCCUUACACAACAGCCAGCUCACCCAGCCUCUGCCUCAAUGCCAUAGACGCAGUGAAGCUUCCCACCCCUGUCCUCUCCAAUGUGUCAGCAGUGAGAGGCAAACCCAGAUGCCUGAAGCUGCAGUGGACUACCAAUACCAGCUUCCCGGUGACCAGAAAACAUAUCUCCAAUGGUGCUCUGGUCUUCCAGGUGCAGUACAGCACAGAG